GAAGGCAGCCCCCUGGGAUGACACUGACGCUCAUGCACGAAAGCGUGGGGAGCAAACAGGAUUAGAUACCCUGGUAGUCCACGCCCUAAACGAUGUCAAUUAGCUGUUGGGGGUUUGAAUCCUUGGUAGCGAAGCUAACGCGUGAAAUUGACCGCCUGGGGAGUACGGCCGCAAGGUUAAAACUCAAAGGAAUUGACGGGGACCCGCACAAGCGGUGGAUGAUGUGGAUUAAUUCGAUGCAACGCGAAAAACCUUACCUGCUCUUGACAUGUCUGGAAUCCCUGAGAGAUUAGGGAGUGCCCGAAAGGGAAUCAGAACACAGGUGCUGCAUGGCUGUCAUCAGCUCGUGUCGUGAGAUGUUGGGUUAAGUCCCGCAACGAGCGCAACCCUUGUCAUUAGUUGCCAUCAUUAAGUUGGGCACUCUAAUGAGACUGCCGGUGACAAACCGGAGGAAGGUGGGGAUGACGUCAAGUCCUCAUGGCCCUUAUGAGCAGGGCUUCACACGUCAUACAAUGGUCGGUACAGAGGGUUGCCAAGCCGCAAGGUGGAGCUAAUCUCAGAAAGCCGAUCGUAGUCCGGAUCGUACUCUGCAACUCGAGUACGUGAAGUCGGAAUCGCUAGUAAUCGCGGAUCAGCAUGUCGCGGUGAAUACGUUCCCGGGUCUUGUACACACCGCCCGUCACACCAUGGGAGUGGGGGAUACCAGAAGUGGGUAGACUAACCUUCGGGGGGUCGCUUACCACGGUAUGCUUCAUGACUGGGGUGAAGUCGUAACAAGGUAACC
rnacentral:rRNA from 1 species